AUUAGAUAGUUGGCGGGGUAAUGGCCCACCAAGUCGACGAUGGGUAGCUGGUCUGAGAGGACGAUCAGCCACACUGGAACUGAGACACGGUCCAGACUUCUACGGAAGGCAGCAGUGAGGAAUAUUGCUCAAUGGGCGAAAGCCUGAAGCAGCGACGCCGCGUGAGGGAUGAAAUCCGUUAGGAUGUAAACGGCCAACUACGUGCCAGCAGCCGCGGUAAUACGUAGGGUUCAAGCGUUGUCCGGAAUUACUGGGUGUAAAGGGUCCGCAGGCGGGCAGACAAGUCGGUGGUGAAAGCUCACGGCUCAACCGUGAGAUUGCCUUCGAUACUGUCUGUCUUGAGUUCGACAGAGGAUGAUGGAAUUCAUGGUGUAGCGGUGAUAUGCGUAGAGAUCAUGAAGAACACCAGUAGCGAAGGCGGUCAUCUGGCUCGAUACUGACGCUCAGGGACGAAAGCGUGGGUAGCAAACAGGAUUAGAUACCCUGGUAGUCCACGCCUUAAACGAUGGAUAUUCGGUGUCGGUCCGCAAGGAUCGGUGCCUGAGCCAACGCGUUAAAUAUCCCACCUGGGGAG
rnacentral:rRNA from 1 species